rnacentral:rRNA from 1 species
CCUACGGGAGGCAGCAGUAGGGAAUCUUGGACAAUGGGGGCAACCCUGAUCCAGCCAUGCCGCGUGAGUGAAGAAGGCCCUAGGGUCGUAAAGCUCUUUCGCCUGUGAUGAUAAUGACAGUAGCAGGUAAAGAAACCCCGGCUAACUCCGUGCCAGCAGCCGCGGUAAUACGGAGGGGGUUAGCGUUGUUCGGAAUUACUGGGCGUAAAGCGCGCGUAGGCGGAUUGGAAAGUUGGGGGUGAAAUCCCGGGGCUCAACCCCGGAACUGCCUUCAAAACUCCCAGUCUAGAGUUCGAGAGAGGUGAGUGGAAUUCCGAGUGUAGAGGUGAAAUUCGUAGAUAUUCGGAAGAACACCAGUGGCGAAGGCGGCUCACUGGCUCGAUACUGACGCUGAGGUGCGAAAGUGUGGGGAGCAAACAGGAUUAGAUACCCUGGUAGUCCACACCGUAAACGAUGAGUGCCAGUCGUCGGAUAGUAUACUAUUCGGUGACACACCUAACGGAUUAAGCAUUCCGCCUGGGGAGUACGGUCGCAAGAUUAAAACUCAAAGGAAUGACGG